UUGAUUCUUCUAUUUAAUGUGUUCCAUCAUAUUCUCUGUGUUGAUUAAACUAUAAAAACGAUAUUUGAGAAGGUUUGUUGAGGGCCUAAAUUGUUUUCUGGAUUUAGUUCUCUUCCCUUGCAAGUGUAGUGUGUCCUUGUACAGCUUUAGUCUUGCUCUCUGUGGCUCAUUUUGCAUCAUUAUACCCUAGAUAAAAUAGGAACAUUGCUGCUAUUUUUUUGGCUGUGAGCUUGUUCAACACCAUAUAAUUUCUACAUUCCAGAAUUGGUAUGUCUCCAAUUCUUUCUUCAUUUAGGUGUGACCCUGUGGCUCUAGAAGAUGCAUUGUGUAAACGGGUAAUGAUCACUCCUGAAGAAGUUAUAAAACGCAGUCUUGAUCCCCUUAGUGCUGCAGUGAACAGGGAUGGAUUGGCCAAGACUAUAGGUUAUUUGACUGGUAAAGGACUUGCGAAAUGGAGGAUCUUAAACCGACUUCAUGACAGAAAUGAGACAUUGUACUGCCGAUAUAAAGCUCAAGACUUCUAAUGUUCUCCCGCAGUCCCGCUUUCCAUAAAACUUGAAAUGGGAGUUCUGUUUUUGAAAAUUAUGGUGCACAAACUUGAGUAUAGUACUUUAUGGCUGCUACGAGGAACUGUUUUUAUGCUGGCUUUGCUGCUCAAAGAAAUUUUGCUAAGGUGAAUCCUCUGCUUGGUUACUAUCUUUUGAUUUUUAAAGCAAUUUAUCUGGUCUACAAUACCUUUCUAAAGAUUCUAUUUCAGUUGAUUAUUUUCCACAUUUCUUGUAGUUCUGAGAUAUAAGGUAGUUGUGUGAACUUGCUUUUUCUAAGGUUUCUCUAAUGGCAAGUAAUUGCUAAGGGUGAAGCACAGGGUAUGGUGAGCUAGGGCAUUGGAAUUAUGCUCGAAAUAGCACUUGCCAACUACACAAGUUCUUCUGCGCCUCUUGCUCUUGCUUCUUUUGGCGUGAUAACUUGGAUUCACAUGUUCUGUAAUCUGAAAUCAUAUCAGUCCAUUCAGCUAAGGACUUUAAAUCCUUACUGUGCAAUUAAAAUCUUUUUUCUUUUACUUUUAAUGUGUUUGAUAUUGUAUCGUCCAUUAGUAACAUGCUGCAGAAAAAUUCCUGCAUAC